GCAUCAAUGGGGUAGUGGUAACCUGGGUCGUUGCCAUCGACCCGCCGCGAGUUCGAUUCUCGCUUGAUGCA